GCUCCCAUUGUCUCCGCAGAUGUCGCCUGGUCUGGCUGUGGUGCUCUCGGUGUUCAGUUUUCGGAGGUUGCGCUCUUUCUCUGGACGGCGGAGCUGUUCCGCGGCAGGGAAGCAGCUUCCGAAGUUUGGGCGGCUCUUCUUUCCUCUGUAGGACCCUCUUUGCUGAACCAGGGCGGCUGCAGCUAUGUCCGCGCUGAGAUCUCUUCUGCUUCUGCUUCCGCUGUGUCCCGGUCCUGGUUCUGGACCCGGGAGCGAGGCAAAGGUCACCCGGAGUUGCACUGAGACCCGGCAGGUGCUGGGAGCCCGGGGAUAUAGCUUAAGCCUACUCCCUCCCGCCGUGAUCUCAGGUGAGCACCUCCGGAUCUGCCCCCAGGAAUACACCUGCUGUUCCAGUGAGAUAGAGCAGAGGCUGACCUGGGAGACUGAGUCCAUCUUCCGAAGCUUGGUAGAGGAGAGUGGCUCCUUUCUGGUUCACACACUGGAUGUCCGACACAGAAAAUUUGAUGAGGUUUUUCGAGAAGUGCUCUCGUCUACUGAGCACUCCCUGACCCUGCUCUUCCACCGUUCCUAUGGCCGCUUAUAUGCCCAGCACACCCCCAUAUUCAGUGCCCUGUUCUCCCAGCUGCGGGACUACUAUGAGAGUUCCGGUGAGGGGUUAGAUGAUGCCUUGAUGGAUUUCUGGGCGCAGCUCCUGGAGAGAACAUUUCCCCUGCUGCACCCACAGUACAUCUUCUCUCCCGACUACCUGUUCUGCCUUACACGUCUCUCCUCCUCUGCUGGUGACUCUCUGAAGCCUUUUGGGGACUCACCUCGCCGUCUCCACCUGCAGAUAAUUCGAGCCAUGGUCGCUGCCCGGGCUUUUAUUCUGGGCCUGGAGACUGGAAGAGAUGUGGUCAGUGAGACCCUUAAGGUGCCAAUGAAUGAAGCCUGCAGGCGGGCUGUAAUGCGGCUGACUGGCUGCCCACUUUGUCGGGGGGUCCCCUCACUGCCACCUUGCCGGGGCUUCUGCCUCAACGUGGCCUAUGGCUGUCUCAGCCCCCAGGGACUGGAUCCUGACUGGGGAGCCUAUCUGGACAGUCUCCUGUUCCUGGCUGAGAAGGUCCAGGGCCCCUUCUCCUUUGAGGGGGCAGCCCAGUCUAUUGCAGUGAAGAUCUCCGAGGGCUUGAUGUUUCUGCAGGAAAACAGUGUGACCCUGUCAGCCCAGGUGUUUCACCAAUGUGGGACCCCUCCCCAUGCACCGGCGCGCACCCGCCGAGCCCCAGCGCCGCGGGAAGAGGUGGGCCGGCUUUGGGCGGCGGCGGCGGCGUUGGAGGAACAACCCACGACGGCGGCGGGCACUAGCCUGCCUCGCCUAGUGUGGGAGCUCCGCGAGCGACUGGGCCGCGUGAGGGGCUUCUGGGCUGGACUGCCCCUGACGGUGUGUGGAGACCCCCGCAUGGCGGCGGACAUCUCGCAGGAGGCGGCGCCCUGCUGGACGGGAGCUGGGCGGGGCCGGUACGUGUCGCCAGUGGUCGGGGGCUCCCUGCCAGAGCAGCUCAACAACCCAGAGCUGGAUGUGGAAACUUCGAGCCCCGACGUCCAGACGCGGAGGCGGCGGCUGCAGCUUCGGACGGCCACAAUCAGGAUGCGGGCUGCCGCCCUGGGUCACGACCUGGAACUGGAGGACUCGGAUGAGGAUGCCAGUGGUUCUGGAGGGGGCCAGCAUUAUGCGGAUGACUGGAUGGCCAGGGCAGGAGCUGUGGCACCGCCAGUUAGGCUUCCUCGCCCUCCUCGAAGGGAUGGCACUGGGGGCAAAACGCUGACCAAAGCAAAAUCGGCUAAUCCAGGGGGCAGACAAAAGCAGGACUGCGAGCAGGCCUGGGGAAUGACCCCCCGAUCUCGAACCAGCGCCUUCCGCGGCUGCACGGCUGUCACCAGCUGUCCCUGCCUCUGUGCCUGGCCCGUGCCCUGUCCCUCUCUAGCACUACCCUUCCCUCUGCCACAUGGGCCCCCUGUCUCCAACCAGGACCAUGUGCCUCCGGGGGCCUCGGAGCCUGGGGGUGGCUCUGGGCAUCUUCAUGACCAUUGGAUUUGCCCUCCAGUUCUGGGGGGGGCCCUUCCAGAGGAGGGUACCUGGGCUGCAGCUCCAACAGCCCUGGGCCAGGUCCCCGGAACCAGCUGUUCCAUCCUGCCAACCCCUUCAGCGACUUGUUUUCCUGAAGACGCAUAAAUCUGGGAGCAGUUCUGUGCUAAGCCUGCUUCAUCGCUAUGGGGACCGGCACGGGCUGCACUUCGCCCUCCCUGUCCGCUACCAGUUUGGCUACCCAAGGCUUUUCCAGGCCUCUCGGGUCAAAGGCUACCGCCCUCAGGAUGGAGACACCCAGCCCCCCUUCCACAUCCUCUGUCAUCACAUGAGGUUCAACCUGAAAGAGAGAUGAGAUCAAGUCUCAGAGAGAUCAGGUGACUGGCCUCCAUCAACAGAUAGCAGCAGAGCUAGGAUUUGAACCUGUCUGCUCCAAGAACCCAUCUGCUCCAAAGUCAAAGUGCCUUCUGUGGCAUGUGUGGGUGAAUAUAUGUGUUUGUAUUCGGAACUGUGAGGACAAUAUUUGUGAAAAGAGAUGGGGCUUUCUGAAGAGGUGGGUUUUAAGGGGGGAGUGGACAUGACUUACUAAGGAGAGUAUCAGGAAUUCGUGGAGCAAAACAUAGGCAAAGACAUGGUUAUGGUGGUGCUGGUAUGUGUGAGAGAAAGGGGGUAGAGAGGUGUGUGGAGGUGGUAGAACUUGAGUGGGAGCUGCAAGAUACUCCUAUUGAGGCUGGAGCUGGAGCAAGCAGCUGAGAAGCAUGAGAGUGAUCUAAGAGGCAGCCAGGGGCCACAGCGAAUGAGGCGAUGGCAGUGAUCUUUGAGGCACAUUUCUCCAGGGGUUAGGAUGAUGACCUUCAUCGUCACCACCAUUCACUGAGUACCUACCAUGUUCCACGCACUUCCACAUUCUUCAGUGCAAGUAUUAACUGAUUUAUAGAUGGAGGAAAGAAUGCUCUGAGAAGUUCAAAGUUACGUAACUGGCAUAUGGCUGACCUGGGAUUUUAUUCCAGGUCUACCUGAUGCCACAGACUGUUCUUGAUACUGUUCUCCUUUGCCUUCAAAAAGAUACACAGUUCACAGGCUCUGCCCUGCAGGCAUGCCCUAGGAGAACAGAUUGGAGGACAUCAUGUCAGGGAGACAGGUUCAACAAUAGAAGCUAGUUCAGAGGGAGAAAUCCUUAGGGGUGCCCAGGAGUUGGAUCUGCCUACAGUACCAUGUUAGGGUAUGGCUCAGCCCAAAUCCCACCUUUCUUCUUGCUGAGAAGUGGGAUCACAUGUCCCUGGCCUCAGGGCAGCACCCUACCAAAUGGCCACGACCCCAGUGCCCAGUCCAGGGUUAUCUUUUGC